GACCUGAUUCUUUGUUCCACCAGGACACUCAGAACCACCAGGAUCCUUCCAUUUGCAUCUCUGCACCCUUUGUUAACAUUUCAGGGGAACCCAAGUGUAGGACAACGUCUUCAUUGUCAAGACAACACAGCUCAAGAGACAGCCAUGGAGGCAGGCUCAGGAGGCCUGGAGACCUCCAAGAACAGAAUACAGAGGAAACCCCCAAGACAGACCAGGAAGAGAGCUGCUCCUUGAAAGAAGUCUUGGAGAAGAAGAGCUGCACUUCCCAGGGGCAGGGGAGGGGAUUGCAAGGGGGGUCUGCAUUCCCCGGGCACUUCUGGGGUCUCACACACACCAAGGCCUAUGGCGAGGGAGGAUGACACUUUUCCAUCUUCCAGCAGCAAGGCAGAACCAGAUGACCAGCUCUGUUCCAGGGCUGUGAGUGAACAUGACAAUGUAUCGAAUCGCUUCUAGACCGCAGUGCUCAUUGAUGAUUUUCAGCCAGGGUGUCUACCAUGGAGGGCAGAGGGAAAGGGCAAGGAGCACCUGUCAGGCUAAAAGCAAAGCCAAUGCAGAGAAAGCAGAGAGAGAGAGAAAGAUGAAAAGCUACAGACAACACUGGCAACUUCAUUUGAGCACCUCGACCCAGCCCUGCUUGACCAGAUUUCCGUGCAUUCAUCAUUAUUGAGCCA
rnacentral:lncRNA from 1 species